GUGUUGAUAUAAUUCAGAUAUGUUAAAAUACAGUGUGUUCAAAAUCUGUUUUUGCAGAAACACAAUAGCCGACCACGCAUAUUGGAUUAGUUUAAAUUACAGUUUUAAAUGUAUGACUUUGAUCUUUGUUGCCUUGAAUUGGGAGGAUUAAAAAAAUAGAAUUUAGUUAACUCAAUCUACAAACUACUGACAUCUAGAGGUGAUUUUUUACACACUGUAGUUUAGUCUACUUUGUCUACUUUGGGUAAAUGUAAACAGUGUUGACAAUGCAUUACCCUCUACUAUAUUAUACUAGGCCUAUUUAUAAUUCAUAUAUUAAUUUACUAUCAUUAAGAUUACUCACUGUCUUGUAAUAAUAAUAAUAAUUAAAAAAAUUUCUAAGAAAGUCUUGUAAGAGAUUGAACUAUUCCAUUCCUUUUAAACACACCAUGUAUAAUGUUCACAGUGAUUUUUAUACAACUCUCUGAUGAAAUGCCAGGAACUUAAUUGUCAGCAGUCACCCCUCCAUGUGAGAAAACAACAAAGCAAAGCAUCAUACAGUACAUGGGUCCAGAACUCAUUAGAUGGUCCCUGCAUAAAGCAGUACAGACAUUAAUUCUUCUGCAGAGCCAGUCUUGGGAUCUGGACCAGCACACCACUGCUACAUCCUGCCAGUCUGUCUCCUCUGAUGAUCAAUAGUGGUGAACAGAAGGCAGCUGGAAGCUCACUUCUAAAGACUUUUGUAGUGUGCCAACUUAUUUUGGUUGGCAAUCCUUGAUUAGUGUUUAAUCUCACUGGCCUUUGCUAAAUUCUACUUAUCCUUGAUGAAAUAAACUGUCAGCUGACAAUAUCACAAGACAGAGCGACAUAAAUUAAAACAUUUUGGAUACUAUUUAAUGUUAAAUUAAAGAAGAACUCACUACGUUUAGAGCAGCUGCUAUAACAAACCCCGUCUUGGGCAUUGUCUCUUAGAAGGCUGCAUAUUGUACGCUUAGGGGCACAUUAUUUAUGGUUGGUUAGAAUUGGAUGGUAAAAUACAGCAAGUUUGUUUCGCUAACAAGAACACACUGCGGGUUUGCUCACUACCAGUUAGUUGGCUCUGAGUGUGUGCUGGACAAUUAAACUGUUAAUUAAAAUGCUUUUCAUAACACCUGAAGAAUAACAACAAAUUAUGAGGCUGCGAAGUCAUUUAACCCUUUAAAGUGUGUAAUGUUGAUUCUGCUUUACUUUGUCCUUUUGUGAUACUUUAGCCAGACAGUUUUCCUCUGCAUGUUUUGUCUGAUACCCUGAAGUACCUCAAACCGCUGAGCAUCGCAGCUUUUACAGAAAAAAUAUUUGAAAAUGCAAAUUAUUCACAGAUGAGUCCAGGAAAUGAAGUAGCAGUGGUUCUCCUGGCCACCUCCCUGUUCUCCACUUUGCUAUCACCGUGUCUUCUGUGUUGCUGAUGGUUUUGCCCCUGUGCUCAGAUUCAUAAAAGAUGAGAUGAAAUGCAGCUUUAUUGAUCCCGGUAGGGAAAUUCUGUCACUGCAGCAGCAACAAAAUGGGCUUCAGCAGGGGAAAAGGAAACAAUACAAGAGCAAAUAAAAAAAUGAUGCAUGUAAAAAGACAUGCUAAACAUCUGCAGAGUUAAAAAACAUAUUUGAUCAUUUUGAUGGACUGAUUUGAGAAAGAUAGUUUUAGAUUUAGAGAGAACUGAUAGACAAUGAAAGAAAGAAAUGAUAAGACUGUGCAACAAGAUUAUUGCCAAAGAACCUGCGAAUGCCUGCGUUUGUUUACGUGCAUCAUUUAAAGCUUCCAGCCAGCAGGGACCUACGUAUCGGUGUUUGGUUAAGUCUAGACGGGGAGGGACACGAUCGCUGUAGGCGUACAGCAUGCUCCAGCUACCGCUCUCUGCUUUUUGCGUGUCUCCCGCUUUCUUUGUUUCAGAACCUCUCCCCCUCUGUCUCUUUCUUUCUCUGUGUUUAACCGCGUACUGUUAAAUGAGGGGGAACAGAAGCUGCAGAAGUCGGAGACAGGGCGAGUUCAAGAGCCGGAGAGAGCAGCAGACGCGCCAGCUGCCAAUCACAGCUGUCAAUCAGUGGCCUCAUGACACACAUCAAAGACUUCUUCACAAUUCCUCCUCAGGGUAGAGGAUAGCACUGUUACACAAGUUUUUCUCAAUCUUCUGAGAUAUUUACUUGGCAGGAGAUCCUUUGCAGACAGUUGAUUUCCUGAAGUCUAGGAGCCAUGGACGUCACCAGAUGCUGCGUUUCCUCCCUUAAGAUGCUUUGUUAGGUCUUCAGUUGUUACUUACUUGCUCGUCUCCCUGCUUUCAGUACCUGAAAAGCAUGCUCUGUCAGGUUGAAGUCAGGUUGAAAAGUAUCCCAUUUUUUUGCCUUGAGAAACUCUUGGUUUCCUUUUGCUGUUUGCUUUGGGUCAUUUUCUCUGUCCAAUCAGUUUCUCCAGCAUUUGGCUGAAUGUGAGCAGAGAGUAUAGCCCUGUAUACUUCAAAAUUCAUCCUGCUGCUUCUAUACAUGUCCAUGCCAUAACAUUACCUCCACUAUGUUUGACAGAUAAUGUGGUACACCGUUUCUCUCUUUCUCUACCAAUCAGUCUGGUACAUUUUCUUGUUUUAUCCACCCAAACAUGUUUUUUGUGUGUAUUCCAGUACUAGGCAUGCUCGCCUUUGUCUUCUUGAGUGUAGCCAGUGGUUUCUACCUUAUUUUAAAACCUCUGUAUUUCCUUUCAGGAAGGCACCACAUGAUUGUUGACCUGAACAAUGAUGGCCUACCUCUUUGAGACUGCUCUUGGCUUAGUUAGAUGUAGUAAAAUGACUUUAUUAAUCCAGAAAAUAAUUCUGUGAUCAUCAGCUUAGUUGUCUUCACUGCUCUUUCAGUCCUUUUGACGUUGCUUUGCUGUCCAGUAAAACCUAUUGAUGGCUUCCUUCAUUAACAUCUCUUUGGACCUCCGGACAGCUCCAGUGAGUUUGCAACAUUAAAAAGAAACUGCAAUUCUUUUAUUGUCUUAAUUAAAGAUGGAAUAACAGAACAGGCCUCACCUGAACAUGAAACUGUCUAUCAGUCAGUUAUUUUGUUUUAACUUCUC